AAUCUGGGGCCCCCAGGCCUCCGAGUUGUAAUUUGGAGAGGCAUCUUCGGGGAGGGGGCGCGGGCCCAUGUUCCUUGGAACAGGACGUCGCAGAGGGUGAGAAUCCCGUGCCAGGCCGGCUGCCUCCGCCCCAGUGAAGGGCCUUCGACGAGUCGAGUUGUUUGGGAAUGCAGCUCCAAGUGGGUGGUAAAUUUCAUCUAAAGCUAAAUACCGGCGGGAGACCGAUAGCGCACAAGUAGAGUGAUCGAAAGAUGAAAAGCACUUUGAAAAUAGAGUCAAAAAGUACGUGAAAUUGUUGAAAGGGAAGCGCUUGAGACCAGACUCGGACCCGGGCAAACAUCGCGCCCCCCGGGGCCGUGCAAUUGCCUGGGGCCGGGCCAGCAUCGGUUGGCGUGGCGGGACAAAGGCGCGGGGAAUGUGGCUCCCCUCGGGGAGUGUUAUUAGGCCCGCGCCCAAUGCCGCCUACGCCGACUGAGGACCGCGCCGCCCGGCUAGGAUGCUGGCUUAAUGGCCUUCAGCGACCCGUCUUGAAACACGGACCAAGGAGUCUAACAUCUAUGCGAGUGUUUGGGCUUGAAACACUUGCGCGGAAUGAAAGUGAGCGGAGGUGGGAACCCCCCCGCGGGGCGCACCAUCGACCGAUCCUGAUGUCUUCGGAUGGAUUUGAGUA
rnacentral:rRNA from 1 species